rnacentral:miRNA from 10 species
CGUGGUGGCGGGUGCCUGUGAUCCCAACUACUCAGGAGGCUGAGGCAGGAGAAUCGCUUGAACUUGGGAGGCGGAGGUUGCAGGGAGC